rnacentral:piRNA from 1 species
CUCUACCAUCAUCAUGAGAUAUGCUUUU